rnacentral:lncRNA from 1 species
AAAAGUUGCACACCAGAAAAUCAGCUUUUAGUUGCUGCACGCGGUUGAGGAAGUGGCGACAACCUAGAGCUGAAACAAAGAAACACUAAAGGAUAAAAUGUGUAGAAAAUCUUUUAGUGCGUACAAAUACCCAACAUCACGUUGCGCGACUUAGUAUGCGACAUCAAGGCAUCAACAACAUGUCAAAUAUUGUUUCCGAACGUCAACUAUAAGCCUUUCUGCACCGUUGGCCAAAUGUGGAAACAAGGAGUAAAGGAUACUUACGAGAAUGAUGUCAAAGAAUGCUGACCAAAGAGGGGCCCAAAAACCGAAAGAAGAGAAAAAAAAUAACGUAAUACAAGUCGUAAGCCUCCGAAUCUGAAUUACCUGAAGAUCACCGGAUUGUCGAAGAAACAGCGAGAUGGAGUGCGGAGGAAUCGCAGCAGCGACGACGACAUCAACAGGUCCCGAACUCUCACAGGUUAUGAACCAUCCGAACAGUAAAAGGCUCGACGUGCGCUCGACGACGAGGGGCCUAUCCGGCCACCAGAUCCGACAUCUCUUCCUCCCCACCAUCCUGUUGUCCUCCACAUAAUCUAAACAAGCGUCUCGUUGUCCGAAGAACUUUAUAUUAGGCCGACUAAAGAGGAUUCAGCUUAGCGUUUACGCCCAACGAGGCUGCCGCCGCCUACAACGCAUUAGGUUCGGCCCUGCGCUUCACGGAUCGGCGCCAUUCGGAGGGGCGCGAGCAGCAGAUGGGGCAUGCGCAAGGGCACAGAGGCGGCGCCCUCGCUGCCGCGGCCUCCAUGGAUCGUCGUCCCGUAGCGAUGUCACCCUCCUGAUUCGGAUAUCCGGAGCUUCCUGCGCUUCAGCAUCGAUCGGAGGCGACAAGAGGGGAGAAUGAAGACGACGAAAGGAUUUGGGGCGGAUUGGGAGGGGAAAAAAAAAAUGGGUUUCGAAACCCCUGAUUUUUCCAGCUAUAGAGAUGAGUAAAAGAUCGAACAGCGAUGAUGUGGGGGUCGGUCGGUCGGUCGUCGGGGAGUCGUGCAUUGGGGGUCGGUCGGUAGUCGCGGAAUCGUCGAAUGCACGACGAAGUCACGAUCCAAUGAAAACUUCUAUUUCUAGGUUAAUUACACCGGUAGUCCCGAC